AUGGAUCUGACGCAGGUGCUGCCGGAGGAAAUACUCGCCGACGUGCUCCACCGCGUCGCGCCGCGCGGCCUUGCCGUGUGCCGCUGCGCCUGCAAGGCCCUGCUCGCCGUCAUCGACGCCCGCCGCCUGCUGCGCGCGGACGUCCUCCCGCUCUCCGUCGGCGGCGUAUUCAUCAAUUUCUACUGCGAACGUGUGUCGGAGUUCUUCGCCAGUCCCUCCACCGGCCCCACCAUCUCCGGCAGGUUCGACUUCCACCCAUACUGGAUUAUGAUCGCCCUGUUCUUGGCCCAUGGGUCUUACAAGAUAUUAACUAUAAUGGGUAUCUCAAAGAGAGAAAGGAUCUCAUUGAAGGUGGCGAAGAUACAGAAUACAUGGAAUACCUAA
rnacentral:rRNA from 1 species